rnacentral:tRNA from 1 species
GGGGUUGUAACUCAGUGGUAGAGUGUUCGGUUUGCAUGCGAAAAGCCCGGAGUUCAAUCCUCCGCAUCUCCA